CUAUCCAGAUACCCAGUGAGUUGGUGGCAAACUGGAAGUUCAAAUCUGAGGUGUUCUACCUUCAAGAUAAUACCUAGAAGCUCUUUCAUGGCUUGCAUUCUCAAUGAGGACUCUUCUGUCUGAACAUGUGGUGCUGGGAAUUGAACCUUGGGCCCUGCACAGAUGAGGGUUUUAGCGUUGUGAAGAGACACAUGGUGCUGGAGAUGGAGCUGAGAGUUCUGCAUCUUGACCUACAGGCAGCCAUGAGGAGACUGGCUCAGCACUGGGCAUAUCUGGAGCGUAUAUAUGAGACCUCAAGCCCACCCACGGUGACACUUCCUCCAACAAGGCCAUACUUUCUAAUAGUGCCAUUCCUUAUGGUAAUGUAUAUUCUGCGCCAUAUGUUCAAAGUAUGUGGUCUGUUUUUUUAUUUUUAUUUUCUAGGGGAUUACAGUUAAGAGAUUGCCUAAGUCUCAGUAGAGAUUUGAACUUUAGAUUUUUUUAAACAUUGUUGAGACUGUGAUAGACUAUAGGGACUUUUAAGGUUGGACUAAAUGCAUUUUGUACUAUGUUAUGGCUACAAACCUAUGGAAAUGAGGGAGUGGGAUGUGGUGGUUUGAAUAGGUCUGGUGCCCCUUUUACCUUUGAACCAGACAUUUUCUAUUUUUCUUGCUAAGUUUCAUCAAAACACUCUUGAGAAGAGUGAACUACAGGGCA
rnacentral:lncRNA from 1 species